GCGACCUCAGCUCAGGCGGGCUACCGCUGAGUUUAA
rnacentral:rRNA from 1 species